rnacentral:rRNA from 1 species
CGAGAAAGCCCGCAAGGGUGAGUAAAGCGGCGCACGGGUGAGUAACACGUGGGUAAUCUGCCCUAGAGUCCGGAAUAACUCGCCGAAAGGCGUGCUAAUGCCGGAUGAGACCACGGGAGCCUCGGCUCCUGCGGGAAAAGGUGGCCUCUGUAUACAAGCUAUCGCUCUAGGAUGAGCCCGCGGCCCAUCAGCUCGUUGGCGGGGUAAUGGCCCACCAAGGCUACGACGGGUAGCUGGUCUGAGAGGACGAUCAGCCACACUGGAACUGAGACACGGUCCAGACUCCUACGGGAGGCAGCAGUGGGGAAUCUUGCGCAAUGGGCGAAAGCCUGACGCAGCAACGCCGCGUGUGUGAUGAAGGUCUUCGGAUCGUAAAGCACUGUCGCGAGGGACG